rnacentral:tRNA from 1 species
GGGGGUGGAUGUGUCCCGGUGGGCGCCCCGGUCUUCAAAAUCGGUGGUGGGUGCCGCAGAGGCAGCCACGGUGGGUUCGACUCCCAUCCACUCCCG